GCAAACUUGGUCAUUUAGAGGAAGUAAAAGUCGUAACAAGGUCUCCGUUGGUGAACCAGCGGAGGGAUCAUUAUAGAGUUUAUAAAACUCCCAAACCCAUGUGAACUUACCUUUGUUGCCUCGGCGGAGCCUACCCUGUAGCUACCCUGUAAGGGGGUUACCCUGUAGCGCCCCGCCGGUGGAAUUUCAAACUCUUGUUAUUUACAAUGAAUCUGAGCGUCUUAUUUUAAUAAGUCAAAACUUUCAACAACGGAUCUCUUGGUUCUGGCAUCGAUGAAGAACGCAGC
rnacentral:misc_RNA from 1 species